GGAAAUGUGGCUCAGUGGUAGAGUGCUUGCCUUGCAUGCAAGAGGCCCUGGGUUUGAUUCCUCAGUGCCA
rnacentral:tRNA from 1 species